rnacentral:tRNA from 1 species
GGGGAUGUGGCUCAAUGGUAGAGCACUUCCAUGGCAUGGAAGGGGUUAGGGGUUCGAGUCCCCUCAUCUCCACCA